GAACUAACAGGAUUCCCCUAGUAACUGCGAGUGAAGCGGGAAAAGCUCAAAUUUAAAAUCUGGCAGUCUUCGAUUGUCCGAGUUGUAAUCUAGAGAAGCAUUAUCCGCGCUGGACCGUGUACAAGUCUCCUGGAAUGGAGCGUCAUAGAGGGUGAGAAUCCCGUCUUUGACACGGACUGCCAGGGCUUUGUGAUGUGCUCUCAAAGAGUCGAGUUGUUUGGGAAUGCAGCUCAAAAUGGGUGGUAAAUUCCAUCUAAAGCUAAAUAUUGGCGAGAGACCGAUAGCGAACAAGUACCGUGAGGGAAAGAUGAAAAGAACUUUGGAAAGAGAGUUAAACAGUACGUGAAAUUGCUGAAAGGGAAACGCUUGAAGUCAGUCGCGUUGUCCGGGAAUCAACCUUGCUUUUGCUGGGCGUACUUCCUGGUCAACGGGUCAGCAUCAAUUUUGACCGUUGGAAAAAGUGGCUGGGAAUGUGGCAUCUUCGGAUGUGUUAUAGCCCAGUUUCGUAUACAACGGUUGGGAUUGAGGAACUCAGCACGCCGCAAGGCCGGGUUUUUAACCACGUUCGUGCUUAGGAUGCUGGCAUAAUGGCUUUAAUCGACCCGUCUUGAAACACGGACCAAGGAGUCUAACAUGCCUGCGAGUGUUUGGGUGGAAAACCCGAGCGCGUAAUGAAAGUGAAAGUUGAGAUCCCUGUCGUGGGGAGCAUCGACGCCCGGACUUGAACUUCUGUGACGGAUCCGCGGUAGAGCAUGUAUGUUGGGACCCGAAAGAUGGUGAACUAUGCCUGAAUAGGGUGAAGCCAGAGGAAACUCUGGUGGAGGCUCGUAGCGAUUCUGACGUGCAAAUCGAUCGUCAAAUUUGGGUAUAGGGGCGAAAGACUAAUCGAACCAUCUAGUAGCUGGUCCUGCAAUUUCCCCCCCCGAAAGAAAAUAA
rnacentral:rRNA from 1 species